GACGAACGCUGGCGGCGUGCUUAACACAUGCAAGUCGAACGGGAAGGCCCUGCUUUUGUGGGGUGCUCGAGUGGCGAACGGGUGAGUAACACGUGAGUAACCUGCCCUUGACUUUGGGAUAACUUCAGGAAACUGGGGCUAAUACCGGAUAGGAGCUCCUGCUGCAUGGUGGGGGUUGGAAAGUUUCGGCGGUUGGGGAUGGACUCGCGGCUUAUCAGCUUGUUGGUGGGGUAGUGGCUUACCAAGGCUUUGACGGGUAGCCGGCCUGAGAGGGUGACCGGCCACAUUGGGACUGAGAUACGGCCCAGACUCCUACGGGAGGCAGCAGUGGGGAAUAUUGCACAAUGGGCGGAAGCCUGAUGCAGCAACGCCGCGUGCGGGAUGACGGCCUUCUGGUUGUAAACCGCUUUCGCCUGUGACGAAGCGUGAGUGACGGUAAUGGGUAAAGAAGCACCGGCUAACUACGUG
rnacentral:rRNA from 1 species